AGGGGCAGCGGGGUGUAGCAAUACACCGCCGGCGAACGGCGCACGGGUGAGUAACGCGUAUGCAACUUGCCUAUCAGAGGGGGAUAACCCGGCGAAAGUCGGACUAAUACCGCAUGAAGCAGGGAUCCCGCAUGGGGAUAUUUGCUAAAGAUUCAUCGCUGAUAGAUAGGCAUGCGUUCCAUUAGGCAGUUGGCGGGGUAACGGCCCACCAAACCGACGAUGGAUAGGGGUUCUGAGAGGAAGGUCCCCCACAUUGGUACUGAGACACGGACCAAACUCCUACGGGAGGCAGCAGUGAGGAAUAUUGGUCAAUGGCCGAGAGGCUGAACCAGCCAAGUCGCGUGAGGGAUGAAGGUUCUAUGGAUCGUAAACCUCUUUUAUAAGGGAAUAAAGUGCGGGACGUGUCCCGUUUUGUAUGUACCUUAUGAAUAAGGAUCGGCUAACUCCGUGCCAGCAGCCGCGGUAAUACGGAGGAUCCGAGCGUUAUCCGGAUUUAUUGGGUUUAAAGGGUGCGUAGGCGGCCUUUUAAGUCAGCGGUGAAAGUCUGUGGCUCAACCAUAGAAUUGCCGUUGAAACUGGGGGGCUUGAGUAUGUUUGAGGCAGGCGGAAUGCGUGGUGUAGCGGUGAAAUGCAUAGAUAUCACGCAGAACCCCGAUUGCGAAGGCAGCCUGCCAAGCCAUUACUGACGCUGAUGC
rnacentral:rRNA from 1 species